rnacentral:rRNA from 1 species
CACGUAGGGGGCGAGCGUUGUCCGGAUUCAUUGGGCGUAAAGGGCGCGCAGGCGGCCCGGAAAGUCGGAUGUGAAAACUCGGGGCUCAACCCCGAGCGUGCACCCGAUACUGCCGGGGCUGAGGCGGGUAGGGGAGAGUCGGAAUUCCUGGUGGUAGCGGUGAAAUGCGCAGAUAUCAGGAGGAACACCGGUGGCGAGGGCGGAUCUCUGGGCCUGUCCUGACGCUGGAGGCGCGAAAGCUAGGGGAGCGAACAGG